UGUUCUUGAUAUCAUUGAUUAGGCUACU
rnacentral:sRNA from 1 species